UCCCUGGUGGUCUAGUGGUUAGGAUUCAGCACUCUCACUGCUGCGGCCCAGGUUCAAUCCCUGGUCAGGGAA